UCUCUCUCUCCCCCUCCUCUCUUCUCACACGGCAAACAGAUAUCCUCUCUGUAAUCAGCUACAGCCACGCCCACCAUCGUUAGCCGCAACUCGGUACACCUGUAAUGCCCAAGACAAACACACUAGCAGGGGAAAAAAUGGGGAACAAGAAAAACGUAACACGUAACACCUGUACUACACCACAUGACUGAGUUACUGUACGGACAGGUUACACCUGUACUACACCACAUGACAUAGUUACUGUACGGACAGGUUACACCUGUACUACACCACAUGACUGAGUUACUGUAUGGACAGGUAACACCUGUACUACACCACAUGACUGAGUUACUGUACGGACAGGUUACACCUGUACUACACCACAUGACUGAGUUACUGUACGGACAGGUUACACCUGUACUACACCACAUGACUGAGUUACUGUACGGACAGGUAACACCUGUACUACACUACAUGACUGAGUUACUGUACGGACAGGUUACACCUGUACUACACCACAUGACUGAGUUACUGUACGGACACAACACCUGUACUACACCACAUGACUGAGUUACUGUACGGACAGGUAACACCUGUACUACACCACAUGACUGAGUUACUGUACGGACAGGUUACACCUGUACUACACCACAUGACUGAGUUACUGUACGGACAGGUUACACCUGUACUACACCACAUGACUGAGUUACUGUACGGACACAACACCUGUACUACACCACAUGACUGAGUUACUGUACGGACAGGUUACACCUGUACUACACCACAUGACUGAGUUACUGUACGGACAGGUUACACCUGUACUACACCACAUGACUGAGUUACUGUACGGACAGGUUACACCUGGACCUCUGGCCAGGUAAACACUAUUGCAAGUUAGUCCCAAAUGGCCCUCUAUUCCCUCGAAAGUGCGCUUCUGUUGACCAGAUUGCUACGGGUUAGUCCUACGGGCCCUGGUCUAAAGUAGUGUACUGUAUAGGAAAUGUAGUGCCAUUUUGGACACAUACCAUGUUCUGAGAACCACCUCGCUGACCGUUCACACUAGAUCCCUCCCUCCCUCCACACAGUUAGUCAGUACCUAGCUCACAGUUGAAGUCCUCCCUCCCUCCCUCCCUCC
rnacentral:lncRNA from 1 species